rnacentral:rRNA from 1 species
UACAGAGGUCUCAACCGUUGUUCGGAUUCAUUGGGCGUAAAGGGUGCGUAGGCGGUCGCGCAAGUCGGAUGUGAAAUCUCAGGGCUCAACCCUGAAACUGCAUUCGAUACUGCGUGGCUCGAGUGCUGGAGAGGAGACUGGAAUUCCCGGUGUAGCGGUGAAAUGCGUAGAGAUCGGGAGGAACAUCAGUGGCGAAGGCGGCCAUCUGGGACAACACUGACGCUGAAGCACGAAAGCGUGGGGAGCGAACAGG